rnacentral:rRNA from 1 species
CCUACGGGAGUCAGCAGUGAGGAAUAUUGGUCAAUGGGCGGAAGCCUGAACCAGCCAAGUAGCGUGCGGGAUGAAGGCCCUACGGGUCGUAAACCGCUUUUUCACGGGGAUAACACCCUCCACUUGUGGAGGUCUGCAGGUACCGUUCGAAUAAGGGCCGGCUACUUCCGUGCCAGCAGCCGCGGUAAUCCGGAAGGCCCGAGCGUUAUCCGGAUUCAUUGGGGUUAAAGGGAGCGUAGGCGGGCGUUCAAGUUAGCUGGAAAAUCGGGCGGCUCACCCGCGCCCCGCAGUUGAAACUGGACGCCUUGAGGUCACAACAGGCAGGCGGAAUUCGUGGUGUAGCGGUGAAAUGCAUAGAUAUCACGAGGAACCCCGAUUGCGAAGGCAGCUUGCCGGGGUGCGACUGACGCUGAGGCUCGAAGGUGCGGGUAUCAAACAGGAUUAGAUACCCUAGUAGUC